rnacentral:tRNA from 1 species
GUAUAGUGGUCAGUACCUCACCUUGUGGCGGUGAUAUCCCUGGUUCGAUUCCGGG